rnacentral:misc_RNA from 1 species
AGCAGCCGCGGUAAUUCCAGCUCCAAUAGCGUAUAUUAAAGUUGCUGCAGUUAAAAGCUCGUAGUUGAAUUUCGGGAUCAAUAUGUUGGUCGUGCCUCGGUACGUACUAGCUUAUUGGUUUCUCCCUUCUGACGAACCAUGAUGUCAUUUAUUUGGUGUUAUGGGAAAUCAGGACUGUUACUUUGAAAAAAUUAGAGUGUUUAAAGCAGGCUCACGCUUGAAUACAUUAGCAUGGAAUAAUGAAAUAGGACGUUUGAUUCUAUUUUGUUGGUUUCUAGGAUCGACGUAAUGAUUAAUAGGGAUAGUUGGGGGCAUUAGUAUUCAAUUGUCAGAGGUGAAAUUCUUGGAUUUAUUGAAGACUAACUACUGCGAAAGCAUUUGCCAAGGAUGUUUUCAUUAAUCAAGAACGAAAGUUAGGGAUCGAAGACGAUCAGAUACCGUCGUAGUCUUAACCAUAAACUAUGCC